rnacentral:rRNA from 1 species
CGAACGCUGGCGGCGUGCUAACNACAUGCAAGUCGAACGAGGUCCAAGCGUUAGCAAUAACGUGGAAGAUCUAGUGGCGAACGGGUGAGUAACACGUGAGGAACCUACCCCGGACUCAGGGAUAACAGACGGAAACGUUUGCUAAUACCUGAUGCCGUCGGAGCAUCACAUGGUGCACUGACGAAAGAAUCUCGGUUCGGGAGGGCCUCGCGGCCUAUCAGCUAGUUGGUGGGGUAACGGCCUACCAAGGCAUCGACGGGUAGCUGGUCUGAGAGGAUGAUCAGCCACACUGGGACUGUGACACGGCCCAGACUCCUACGGGAGGCAGCAGUGGGGAAUCUUGCGCAAUGGGCGAAAGCCUGACGCAGCAACGCCGCGUGCGGGAAGAAGGCCUUAGGGUUGUAAACCGCUUUCAGUAGGAACGAAAAUGACGGUACCUGCAGAAGAAGGUGCGGCCAACUACGUGCCAGCAGCCGCGGUGACACGUAGGCACCAAGCGUUGUCCGGAUUUAUUGGGCGUAAAGAGCUCGUAGGCGGUUGAGUAAGUCGGGUGUGAAAACUCUGGGCUUAACCCAGAGCCGCCACCCGAUACUGCUCUGACUUGAGUUCGGUAGGGGAGCAGGGAAUUCCUAGUGUAGCGGUGAAAUGCGCAGAUAUUAGGAGGAACACCGGUGGCGAAGGCGCUGCUCUGGGCCGAAACUGACGCUGAGGAGCGAAAGCGUGGGUAGCAAACAGGAUUAGAUACCCUGGUAGUCCACGCCGUAAACGUUGGGCACUAGGUGUGGGUUCCAACCAACGGAAUCCGCGCCGUCGCUAACGCAUUAAGUGCCCCGCCUGGGGAGUACGGCGG